UACGUAGGCAGCGAGCGUUGUUCGGAGUUACUGGGCGUAAAGGGUGCGUAGGCGGUUGUUUAAGUUUGGUGUGAAAUCUCCCGGCUCAACUGGGAGGGUGCGCCGAAUACUGAAUGACUAGAGUGCGGGAGAGGAUAGUGGAAUUCCUGGUGUAGCGGUGAAAUGCGUAGAUAUCGAGAGGAACACCGGUGGCGAAAGCGGCCAACUGGACGAAUACUGACGCUGAGACACGAAAGCGUGGGGAGCAAACAGG
rnacentral:rRNA from 1 species